UGUAGGACGAUGAUCAAAACUCCGGCUGUUUUACAGAAUUCAUCCCAGGCCCACUUGAGGGUGCUAAGAUAAGGAGCACAGGCAAGUGUGCCCGAGCUCGGCCACCAGUCAGAGCCUCACGGGAGACAGGAAGCCCGCGUGCACCCCGGAAAGGAAAGGGGCCUUGGAACUGUGGCGCGCACAUUGAAGGGAAAGCUGCUUUUAUUGUGAAGGAGCUUUGUCCUGAGGAUAAGAAGGACUCCUGUCAUCUAUACUGUAGAGAACCGGUGUCCGGAUGUGCUCUGUGA
rnacentral:lncRNA from 1 species